GCGGGUGUGGCGGAAUUGGCAGACGCACCAGAUUUAGGAUCUGGCGCCGCAAGGUGUGAAGGUUCAAGUCCUUUCACCCGCA
rnacentral:tRNA from 1 species